rnacentral:misc_RNA from 1 species
AGAAUAUUGGGUCCCUCAUACAGAAUAUUUCAAGGCAGCAGAUGGAAAUGUUUUUGAAACCAGUCUCAUAACCAAACAACCCUUGGGAUUCAGUUCUUUCCCACCUAUAUUCUUUGGACCAAAGUCAUUGGGUCAGACCUUCCUGAUAAGGACUUGCUAAUUGGUUUCGACUUAUACCAGCAAGCGAGGCACCUAAAGAUCCUUCCAACGGGAUUGAAAUACAAAAGGACUUUUCAGCCAUUCA